rnacentral:rRNA from 1 species
AAAUUGAAGAGUUUGAUCAUGGCUCAGAUUGAACGCUGGCGGCAGGCCUAACACAUGCAAGUCGAACGGUAACAGGAAGCAGCUUGCUUCUUUGCUGACGAGUGGCGGACGGGUGAGUAAUGUCUGGGAAACUGCCUGAUGGAGGGGGAUAACUACUGGAAACGGUAGCUAAUACCGCAUAACGUCGCAAGACCAAAGAGGGGGACCUUCGGGCCUCUUGCCAUCGGAUGUGCCCAGAUGGGAUUAGCUAGUAGGUGGGGUAACGGCUCACC